AAAGGUCAGCUUAGGUGGUUCAACAAGUCGGUCGUAAAAGUUCAGGGCUCAACCCUGAAAUGUCGAUCGAUACUGUUGUGACUAGGAUACGGUAGAGGUGAGUGGAAUUCCGAGUGUAGCGGUGAAAUGCGUAGAUAUUCGGAGGAACACCAAUUGCGAAGGCAGCUCACUGGGCCGCUAUCGACGCUGAGGAGCGAAAGCUAGGGGAGCAAACAGGAUUAGAUACCCUGGUAGUCCUAGCUGUAAACGAUGGAUACUAGACGUAGGAACUGGAUUGACGGUUUCUGUGUCGUAGCUAACGCGUUAAGUAUCCCGCCUGGGGAGUACGGUCGCAAGACUAAAACUCAAAGGAAUUGACGGGACCCCGCACAAGCGGCGGAGCAUGCGGCUUAAUUCGAUGAUACCCGUAGAACCUUACCUGGACUUGACAUAUAGGGUCUAGCUAUAGAGAUAUAGUGUGCAUUAGCGCCCUAUACAGGUGGUGCAUGGCUGUCGUCAGCUCGUGUCGUGAGAUGUUGGGUUAAGUCCCGCAACGAGCGCAACCCCUACUUUUAGUUGCCACCAUUUAGUUGGGCACUUUAAAAGAACUGCCAGUGAUAAGCUGGAGGAAGGUGGGGAUGACGUCAAGUCCUCAUGGCCCUUACGUGUUGGGCUACACACGUGCUACAAUGGUAUCUACAACAGGAAGCAAGACGGCGACGUUAAGCAAAUCCUUAAAAGAUACCUCAGUUCGGAUUGCACUCUGCAACUCGAGUGCAUGAAGCUGGAAUUACUAGUAAUCGUGGAUCAGCGUGCCACGGUGAAUGCGUUCCCGGGUCUUGUACACACCGCCCGUCACACCAUGGGAGUUGGUUCUACCUUAAGGCAAGGUUUAAAACCCUUGACCACGGUAUAGUCAGCGACUGGGGUGAAGUCGUAACAAGGUAGCCGUAGGGGAACCU
rnacentral:rRNA from 1 species